rnacentral:lncRNA from 1 species
CUCAAUACUUUACAUCAUGUUAACGGCCAUGUUUCGCUUCCUCUUUGUUCCCAAUAAAGUUCUCUCUCUCAAGAAACAGAAGGUAGCAAUUAUGACAAAUGCCAAAGCAAACAAAUCCCCAAUCACCUGUUCAUACUAGCAACAAAUACACUUUGGUAAUUGGUUGCAGCAUAUAUGAUAUUUGGAAAACAUCUUGUCAACUAUAAAUUUUUGUGAUGUACUUGCAGAUAGUAAAGCAAAUGGGUUUGAAAACCAUACAUACUACCAAGGUUUGGAACAUUUGGUACCAUGGCAAUAAUUAAAGAACUAAAAUAGGGUAAUACCUGUCGAACUACAACACCAGCUGAUUUGCUUUUGUUUAGUUGUUAUUGAGUCAAAUAAUUGUUAAGAUAUUUUGCUGAUUUUUAGUCUUUGAAUUGUUCACCUUAAAGUCAAUAGUAUACCUAAUUUUUAGCACUUAGUUGAGUCCUUGUUAGCUACAAUAACUGCUAAAAAUAUGGCAACAUUGUUACUUGUGUUUUGAUAUAAAAACGUAUUUGGUUCAGC